ensembl:lncRNA
AUUUUUUUCUUCCAUUUGGGCUCCGACCUCCAUCUGUUUAUGGAAAUAUUUAGAUUCCUCUGGUGUAUUUUUAGCAGAUCGUUUUGCUUUUGCUGCUGCAAUAUCAUUGCAUCAUCAUUCUCCUGUUGCUCAGCUCCAAUUCCUCUCUCUCUUUUCUUCUUUCUUUUUCUCUUCAGCUUCAAUCAUUCCAGCAUACAAAAAAAAAUUUUUUUUAAAUGGUAUGCUGUGUUUACACUCUGAAUGCUCACACAAAAAGUGUCAGCAAAGUGCACACAGAUAUAUGUACACAUUGUGGGUUGUCAUCAGUGUAGUGGUAGGCUUUUUUCCAUCCGUGAAUUAUCCUGCCUGAGACAAGAUGAGUUGGCUGCCCAGGAGCUGAGAUCUCAGUCUUAGAGGUACCGCCUCUAAACAGAUGAAGUCUGAAGAACUUCUGCCUAAGGCCAGAACCAAGAGAAUGGAAGAAGAUCUCCUCUGAAUCUAUCAGCCUGAAAGGAGAAACAGCAGCUACUGCUGCCACUGAUGUGUGAAAUCUGCUGCCCAGAAGGAAGCCUUUGUAGCUGCUGUUCAGCCUGCCUCAGUCUGCAAACACCAGAUCCAUCUGCAACUUGAGCUAAGGGAGUAUUUCACCACCUGCUUGCAGAGCAGGGCCUGAGAAACACUCCCAAGCUGUUGUGCUGCUACCUCUAAGUAGGCAGCACCACUCCUAUGCUCUUCCCUCUCUAAUAAACAUUAUUCAGUCCCUGACCCCAUAUGUUUCUUUCUGGGAGUACAACCCAGCCAUGUGUCAGGACAAAAUCUUCCAUUUUGGCUGGACUUGUGGCAUUGACCUAUCCCCAGUAAUUUGCCUUUCCAAAGUCCUUGGGAGAAGCACCCAGCUGCAAAGCAAUUUAAAUGGAUGAGGAGCCAACAAGUGCUCUAAAUGGCUUAUCUGAUUCUGUGGGGAAUCCAUCUGGAGCCAAGAGCUUUUCCCAUCUGCAUAACAGUGAUUAUGCUGCUUCUCACCCUCAUCCUCCAUAAAGCUCUUUUAAAACUCUAACAUAAUCCCCUGCCCUUCUACCCACACUAAGGCAGCAACACUCUCUGGAGCAAAAUGAGCUCACAGAAGGAGAGCUUCACUUCAUCAGGAACACACCAGUCCCUAGUGUUUGGUUAUACGGUGGCCAUCCACAUGAAACACUCAAGCAGAGCACGUGCUCUUUCUCAUCAGGUAAAGCAAUUUGAAUGAACAAAACAGAGUUCUUCCCUGAGGAUGCUGUGGUUGCACGAAAAAAUAUUCCAAAGCUUGGUACCCAUGAAAUCCCAUGACUGCCGCACCCACAUGGAACUACCCUAGAUCAUCUUUUCUGCACAGCCUGAAAGCUUGAAUUCACCAAUACACAAGUCUGUCAUGGGCCCAGUGAGCUGGACAGACACCAUUUUCCCACCACGUACUGCUUGUACUAAGGAAGUGUUCUCAACCUUCACUGCACUGCAGAGAAGUAGUUGCUGGCAUCCUGGCCCACACUGGCUCCACUUGGUGAUCCUAUGUUGAACCCCUUCACUUGCAUCUCUGAAAUGCAGGCAAGGGGAUCCAUAGUUUGGAUAAGGAAAUCUGGACUGAAGAUAGCACCAGUGCACAAUGCCUAAAAGGACUUUUCCUUUGUGGAGCUCUUUUUGUGGAAAUCUGCAGCUGUCCAAUGCCAGCCAUGGCUCUCUCUCCAGCAGGCCAUGAGCAAGGAAGAAGCUCCAUGAAGGUGCACAGGAAGAGAGCAAGUGGUGUGCUGAUACCUCCCCAGAACACUACCCCAAGCUCCUGACAUUUCUAUCCUGCAGACAUCCUGAGCCACUCAUGGUGUCUUCAUACUGACCAGUCCUCGAUGGACUCAAGUUAGACAAAUUAACGGGAGAAAAAUCUUCAGCACAGAGUACCACAGCUUACCAAUUUCUGAUGAAUAAAUAUCUUCAAGUUUUUUGUUUUAUAUUUGCUGUAUGAUACCCUCCAAUUUUUCUGCCUUUUGAAUAUCUCCUCUGAUACUUGCGAUGCUUGACCCAAAUGAGAUGCAGAAGCUCUUUUUAAUUAGUUUAUAUAGAAUAAUAAGCUUUACUUAAACAUGGAAAUUGUAAAUAAAGACAAGAUCUCGGCUGAUUUCCCUCUGAAAAGCCCAUAGUUGCCCAAACAUACCUAAUCAUUUGCCUUCAUCUAGCCCACAUUUUUCUUAUUAGAAUGAUCUUCUGUCUUUGACUGUAUAAGACUUUAUUUUUGUAUCCUGGG